rnacentral:lncRNA from 1 species
AGCCUUCAGUAGCUGGUAGUGGAAGGAGGAGCUCUGACUACACUCUCACGACUGUUUUUUGCCUCUUGGUUCUUGUUAUGUCCCUUUCUUUUUGAAAUAAGACAGAAGGUCCCCACCUUCAUAGACAUAGAGAGAUCCCAUCUUAUUUGUUUUUAAAAAUAAAUUGAAAAGUGAGGCGGAGCCUUGUGAGGAUGAUGGGAGAGGGCUUCCAGAGAGGAAUUUCUUCUUUGGAAUUCCUGAAAUGGGAACAAACUUGUUUUGGGAAAAGGACAGAAAGACACAAAGGUGGCUGCAGCAGAGUGAAAUGAAUAUGAUGGGCUAAGGCCUCGUACACGUAGUGAGCAUUGACAAAGAAUAUGGACUUUAGUUGAGAUGGGAAACCACUGGAGGAUUACAGCCUGGGGAUUACUGUUAAUUCUCCAAGAAGAAGACUGACCAGCGGCUGUGUGAGAAUGUCCUGUAAUGCAGGCAAGGGUGGAAGCAGGGAGACCAGCUAGGAGGCUGGUGGCGAAGUGCAGGUUUGGACGCCCGCUCCAAGCGCUGGUUAAAAAUAAUAUGGAGACGGCACGGGAUUUGGCCUCUAGAAAAUAUAGGUCCCAUUGAAGAUGUGCAGGCGUCUGCACACGGCGGUGUGGAGGAGAAUAUGACAUCAGAUAUUGUAAGAUGUAUUUCUUUCUCUGGAAGAGAAAUGCUUUUUGUUUUUUCUGGGGCUUCUAGAAUAUCAAGUGAGUAUCAUUUUUGACUGCCAUCAUGAUUCAGGCCUCAGUGUCAUGGACUCUAGCGACCGGUCACUGGAGGUUAUGACCAGCUGAGGCCUGAUUGAAAAUGGCAGUCAAAGGACGGCAUCACUUACAAACUGUUUGGUAGUGAGUGUAUUUCUCAGUAGCAACCUUUUCUCCUUGAAAAAUAAUUUUGUAUUUGCCAGCCAACAUAGACUUGCUAAAUAUUCCAAAAAACCCACUGCAUGUUCCACAAGCAUCCUCUAUGCUUUAUUUGGGGGCCAGUGACUUGAUCACUGUUUCACAUCCGGUUUUUUAUUUCACCAAGUGAAUAAAGGCCUUUGCCAACAGAACCCAGCAUGAUCUGAUCCUCAUGGUGUUUUUUUUUUCUCUUAUUGCAGAGAAAGUCGAAAGCCCAGCGUCAAGUCUGUACAUAUACUUUUUUUUUUAAACAGCUUUAUUUAGACAUAGUUGACAUGCAAAACAACUCACCCAUUUAAAGUACGUGAUUCAGCGUUUUUACUAUAUUUACACGGUUGUGCAACCAUUGUUACAAUCUCAUCUUAGAACCUCUUUAUUCCCCCCUCAAAGAAACCCCACUAGUAGUCACUCCUGUUUUUCCCAUCUCCCAUGCCCCUGGAUCUAGGCAGCCACAAAUGUACUUCCUGUUUCUAUAGUACAGUGCUUUUCUGUAUUAACCGGUUCUUAAGGUGACUAUUUCGCAUUGAUGAAGUUGCUCUAGCUAGAAAGCCAAGGCUCUUUCAUUUCCUUCUGCCCUUCUCCUUUGCCAUCCUUCAACACCAAGGAGAAUGGUCCAGCAACAGCUCGGUCCAAGCUUGUCAACCGCCCACCUCCACACACUCCAGCCCCGGUCCACAUCCCCCAAGGCUCCUUGUGGGAUUCCUCAGCAGCACCAAUGCACUGACUGUCACUAUGUUCUCCUAGAUUUGGUCGAAGAUCUCAGUGAAUACCCAUCUGUCCAUCUUGAAGACCUCAUGACACCGGAGAUGGCAAAGGAGAGACGCGAAGAUUACCUCUGCUGGGUUAACAUGGCACAAUCUCGGCUCAAUGAACCCAUCAGCUCCCAGGUUUGAGGACUUCUCCGGCUUCCGCAUCCCGAGUAGCUGGGAUUACGGACGCCUGCCACCACACCCAGCUCAAAUCAUUUUAUGAAUGCAUAUUUCCAUCUGGGUGAAAAAAAAAUCACAAGCCUCUCUCUCUUCCUACUGAGCACCUGUGAACAGUGACCUGCAGUUUGUGGCUGCAGCCAGUCCUCAUGGAGCCUGCUGUUCUUACAUUUCAUUCUGAGGCUCACAUUCUCAGUCACCAUGCAGAAGAACACCCGCCCCAUCCUGGGUCAUUACAGAGUGGGCCAAUCCAUCUGCUGCAUCUGAGGAGCUGGGUCCAGCUUCUACGGUGAAUCCAUAUAUUUCUGUAUUUCCUGGAUAAGGAAGAGGAAAGGAGCUGAGCUGGUGGAGGAAGAAGAUCUAAUAUUAACUGACUCCUUAUUUUGUACCAGCAAAGCAGUUGCCGCUACAGACUGAAUGCAUUUGGGCCAUCCGUGGGUUAGUGGGUUCACGGAAUUCACAUCAAAUCAGAAUCAAAACCAAAACCAAAGUGCAGAUAAAGGCACGCCCGUUCGUCAAGCAGUUUAAACCAAGUGAAAAUCAAAACCAAAACCAAAACCAAAGUGCUGAUAAAGGCACGCUGUGGGUGAUCAGGCCAUGCUUCCACUCAAAUGGAGUGGACAAGUUCCCAAGACCGGUCCUGUCAAGCAGCUCAAACCAAGUCAAAAUCAAAACCAAAACCAAAGUGCUGAUAAAGGCACGCCCGUUUGCCUAGGAAUUCAAACCAAGUCAAAAUCAAAACCAAAACCAAAGUGCCGAUAAAGGCAUGCCGUGGGUGAUCAGGCCACGCUUCCACUCAAAUGGAGUGGGCAAGUUCCCAAGACCAGUCCUACCGUAUUCCAGAUAUCUGGACUCCAAGCGCCAGUUCCUUCCCGGUGUUCAGCCACUGCACUGAUCCUCUGCGGGGGCCUGCCAUGCACUGCUCUGACGAGGCAUUGCACCGGGGCAAAUGCCUACCCAGGAGCAUGCUCAGGAACCGCGUAGCUCAAGCUGGCCGGAGUCCCCUGCAGGGAUGCUCCACAGGGCAAGCCUAAGCUGCCUAAGAGGCUGCCUCGCUUCCCGGUCAGGGAACCAAGAAAUGUAGCAGGAUGAGCCACAGACAAAACUCCUCAGACACCGGGUUAAACAAGGAAGAGGCUUUAUUCGGCCGGGAAAUCGGCAGACUUGCGUCUCAAGAACAGAACUAAGCUCCCCGAAGAAAGAGUUCCUGGCCCUUUUAAGGGCUUACAACUCUAAGGGGUCCAGGUGACAGGGUCGUGAUAGACUGAGCAAGCAUGGGGUACGUGACUAGGUGGGGGUAAGCAAGUCAAGGACGUGUCAACAUAGAGACUUAGGAGGACAAAGUGAACUUCCUGAUCCCCAACAGGCAGAUCCCCAAAAGCCAAAAUGUAUGUGUCACCUUGGAAGAUGACGCACCAGGAAGAAUGGGGAGGAGGGAGGAGGAAAAACUGCUGAUGAGGCCGACUCGCUCUUUGGGGCUUAUCAUAUCAGCAAAGCCAGCUCUUUUGAGAUGGAAGAACAAAGAUGUUUCUCCUCUGUGAGGAGGUGACAGUGGUGUUCUGGGUGAAGGAGAGCAGCUUUGUCCUGGAAGGAAUCUGACUUGGAAGGAGGCCCAGUUGUCCAGCAGUGGAUAUGACGUCAGAUAUUGACACAGCCAACAAUCGACUCAUCAUUUCUGAAGACCUGUGGAGUGUCCAUUGUGG